AAGUUGGGAAGAAAAAACUCGCGUCUAACACAGUGGAGUCUUGACGGUACCGACAGAAUAAGCACCGGCUAACUCUGUGCCAGCAGCCGCGGUAAUACAGAGGGUGCAAGCGUUAAUCGGAUUUACUGGGCGUAAAGCGUGCGUAGGCGGUUCGUUAAGUCGAUUGUGAAAGCCCUGGGCUUAACCUGGGAAUUGCAGUCGAUACUGGCGGACUAGAGAACGGUAGAGGGAGGCGGAACUCCAGGUGUAGCGGUGAAAUGCGUAGAUAUCUGGAAGAACACCGAUGGCGAAGGCAACCUCCUGGGCCUGUUCUGACGCUGAGGCACGAAAGCGUGGGUAGCAAACAGGAUUAGAUACCCUGGUAGUCCACGCUGUAAACGAUGAGAACUUGACGUCGGGUCGCUUAGCGAUUCGGUGUCGAAGCUAACGCGCUAAGUUCUCCGCCUGGGGAGUA
rnacentral:rRNA from 1 species